AUAAAAAAACCCCUGCUUUCGCAGGGUCCUUCUAUUUUUCCUGAAAGCCUAUGUUGACUUCCAUUUCAAGAAGGCAAAGGGAGAGGAGAAACCGGAGGAAGAACUUAUGGGGAAACGUAAGUCUUCUCCGCGG
rfam:Bacillus azotoformans LMG 9581 contig39, whole genome shotgun sequence.